rnacentral:rRNA from 1 species
GAUGAACGCUAGCGGGAGGCUUAACACAUGCAAGCCGAGGGGUAUAGCUCUUUCGGGACCUAGAGACCGGCGCACGGGUGCGUAACGCGUAUGCAACUUGCCCUACUGAAAAGGGCAGCCCUUCGAAAGGAGGAUUAAUACUUUAUAACAGAUUUAUUGGCAUCAUUAGAUUUUGAAAGAUUUAUCGCAGUAGGAUAGGCCUGCGUCAGAUUAGUUAGUUGGUGAGGUAACGGCUCACCAAGACGAAGAUCUGUAGGGGGCAUGAGAGGGUGAACGCCCACCCCGGAACUGGGACCGGGUCCAGGCACCUACGGCAGCCAGAAGUAGGGAAUAUUGAGAAAUGGGCGAAGGUGGGAGGCCGAAACGGCCCGUCCGCGAUGAAGGUGUUCGGCUUUUUGGUUUGUGACUUCUGUGAAGCAGGGAUGAACCUGCUUACAUGUAAGUAGCUGAGGGUACCAGAAGAAUAAGCACCGGCAAAUUCCGG